AUGUGGCACAGGAAAAGCUCGCUCGCACUUUCGAACACGCCGGUGGCCGUGGCGCGCGCAUAUCCGAGCAUCUCUCCGAAGAACGGGCCUGGCUUAGUGUCUGCCAUGGGAAUCAAUGUGCCCAGCGGCAUCAGAACUUAUCGCCUCCUCCACGGCGGUGCGUCCGCCUUCUCGGAAGCGUCGUCACCCCAGAAGAUGCCUUCGUCCAUAUUGCACGUCCUACUUCCGGAGAAAGCCAAGGCCGACGCGUCCUGCACGUCCAGCUACUUGGCCAUGGAGGACGUCCUCUCGAGGAACUGCGACCUUGUGGUCAAGACGGUGAACACGGCUGAGGAAGAGGCUUGCAGCAGCGGCGCCGCACAACGGCGGAGACUGGUUCCGAGGGCCGAGUGCGAGCGGUUCGGUGAGAUGGAUGUCAAGGACAACCUGUCUGAGUACAACUCCAUGCAAGCACCCUGCACCGUGCAAGGAGCUGGGCACCAGGUGGAGGACGUAUCGAAGGGCACCGGGCACCGGGGGAUAUACAGGUUCGAGGUCUUGGGCUGCAGACCACAUAUGAACCUGCGUGACACGCUGCCGCCUCGGCUGGCGGCGCUGAACUCCUGCAAGGCAGAGUGCAACCGCGACAUGGACGGGAUGGCAACGCCAAGCAGCAGCUGCCUUUGGAGGCUACCCACGAGGUUGCCCCGGUCCAGGCUUGCUGGCCGUACGGUGGUGUAGGCGCGGGACGCAGCCCGAUGUCGACCGGAGGCGGCCGUCAGUUCGUGCAGCAUCGCGCUUGUGCCGGCCGUCAUCUCGGCAGCACCGCGUCCUGGCUGUCGCUGCGGAACAGCAGCAGGUCCUCCGGGCGCUCGUGCUGCCUCCCAUCCUGUAUUGUCGGUAGCUGAGGAGCAGACGGUGCGCUCGCUGCUGUCACCCUGGCGGGCAACACCCGUCUCUUCACUAGACGCGUGGAGGCGGGUUGUACACCCCGCCACGCUGAGCUGCUGGUCUCGUCGGCCGAGGCUUGUCGAGCACGCUCGCGGCUACCGCUGCGAGCUAGUCUCGGCGCCGCUGAACUCGGGACGUUCGUGCAGCGAAACGGGGGCCCCGCUCUCUUUCAGCGCCUGUGUUUCUCGUUUGAAUUUUUUUGGAUUUUCGCAAUUUAUUCGUGUGAAUGUUUUAUUGUUCUAUGUGCUUGAAAUAAACUUUAUUGUACUUGAA
rnacentral:misc_RNA from 1 species